GAUGAACGCUAGCGGCAGGCCUAACACAUGCAAGUCGAGGGGUAGAGGAAGCUUGCUUCCUUGAGACCGGCGCACGGGUGCGUAACUCGUAUACGAUCUACCUUAUACUGGGGAAUAGGCCAAAGAAAUUUGGAUUAAUGCCCCAUAGUAUAUAACCUUCGCAUGUUGGUUAUAUUAAAGUUCCGAUGGUAGAAGAUGAGUAUGCGUCCUAUUAGUUAGUUGGUGAGGUAACGGCUCACCAAGACAACGAUAGGUAGGGGUCCUGAGAGGGAGAUCCCCCACAGUGGUACUGAGACACGGACCAGACUCCUACGGGAGGCAGCAGUGAGGAAUAUUGGGCAAUGGAGGCAACUCUGACCCAGCCAUGCCGCGUGCAGGAAGACGGCCAUAUGGGUGUUGUAAACUGCUUUUAUACAGGAAGAAACCUCCCUACGUGUAGGGUGCUGACGGUACUGUAAGAAUAAGGACCGGCUAACUCCGUGCCAGCAGCCGCGGUAAUACGGAGGGAGCAAGCGUUAUCCGGAAUCAUUGGGUUUAAAGGGUCCGUAGGCGGACUAUUGUCAGUGGUGAAAUCUCCUAGCUCACUAGGAAAAUUGCCUUUGAUAAUGGUUAUCUUGAGUUAUUGUGAAGUAGUUAGAAUAUGUAGUGUAGCGGUGAAAUGCAUAGAUAUUACAUAGAAUACCAAUUGCGAAGGCAGAUUACUAAUAAUAUACUGACACUGAUGGGACGAAAGCGUGGGGAGCGAACAGGGAUUUAGAUACCCCUGGGUAGUCCACGCCGUAAAACGAUGGAUACUAGCUGUUCGGGACGCAAAGUUUGAGUGGUUAAGCGAAAGUGAUAAGUAUCCCACCUGGGGGAGUACGCACGCAAGUGUGAAACUCAAAGGGAAUUGACGGGGUGACGGGGGCCCGAACAAGCGGUGGAGCAUGUGGUUUAAUUCGAUGAUACGCGAGGAACCUUACCAGGGCUUAAAUGUAGCUGGACAUAUUUAGAAAUAGAUCCUUCUUCGGGCUAGUUACAAGGUGCUGCAUGGUUGUCGUCAGCUCGUGCCGUGAGGUGUCAGGUUAAGUCCUAUAACGAGCGCAACCCCUGUUGUUAGUUGCCAGCGAGUAAUGUCGGGAACUCUAACAAGACUGCCGGUGCAAACCGUGAGGAAGGUGGGGAUGACGUCAAAUCAUCACGGCCCUUACGUCCUGGGCCACACACGUGCUACAAUGGCCGGUACAGAGAGCAGCCACUACGCGAGUAGGAGCGAAUCUUCAAAACCGGUCUCAGUUCGGAUCGGAGUCUGCAACUCGACUCCGUGAAGCUGAUAUGCCUAGUAAUCACAUAUCAGCCAUGAUGCGGUGAAUACGUUCCCGGGCCUUGUACACACCGCCCGUCAAGCCAUGGAAGCUGGGGGUACCUGAAGUCGGUGACCGUAAGGAGCUGCCUAGGGUAAAACUGGUAACUAGGGCU
rnacentral:rRNA from 1 species